GGUGCUGUGGCUUAGUUGGUUCCAAGUGCCUGUCUAGUAAACAUGAGAUCCUGGGUUUGAAUCCCAGCAGUGCCU
rnacentral:tRNA from 1 species